CCUCAAUUGGGUCAAUUUUGAACUGAAGUCAGCAAACCCUUUGCUAACAUCAAUUCAGAAUUUUGGAAAAAAAAUAGAGAUCGAAAUAGGGGAGAUCAUGAUCUCCUACCUGAUUUUUAUCGCUAGAAGAUAAGGCCACCGAAUAGUGGUCGAUGCGAAAUCUCUAGGUCAGUGUGAAUGGCCAACGGCCAUUGGAGGCUGGU
rnacentral:lncRNA from 1 species